GACGAACGCUGGCGGCGUGCUUAACACAUGCAAGUCGAACGGAAAGGCCCUGCUUUUGUGGGGUGCUCGAGUGGCGAACGGGUGAGUAACACGUGAGUAACCUGCCCUUGACUUUGGGAUAACUUCAGGAAACUGGGGCUAAUACCGGAUAGGAGCUCCUGCUGCAUGGUGGUGGUUGGAAAGUUUCGGCGGUUGGGGAUGGACUCGCGGCUUAUCAGCUUGUUGGUGGGGUAGUGGCUUACCAAGGCUUUGACGGGUAGCCGGCCUGAGAGGGUGACCGGCCACAUUGGGACUGAGAUACGGCCCAGACUCGUACGUGCGGCAGCAGUGGGGAAUAUUGCACAAUGGGCGGAAGCCUGAUGCGGCAGCGCCGCGUGCGGGAUGACGUCCUUCUAGUUGUAAACCGCUUUCGCAUGUGACGUAGCGUGAGUGACGGUAAUGGGUAAAGAAGCACCGGCUAACUACGUG
rnacentral:rRNA from 1 species